UGGGCCUACGGGGGGCAGCAGUGGGGAAUAUUGCACAAUGGGGGAAACCCUGAUGCAGCGACGCCGCGUGAGCGAGGAAGUACCUCGGUAUGUAAAGCUCUGUCAGCAGGGAAGAAAAUGACAGUACCUGACCAAGAAGCCCCGGCUAACUACGUGCCAGCAGCCGCGGUAAUACGUAGGGGGCAAGCGUUAUCCGGAUUUACUGGGUGUAAAGGGAGCGUAGACGGCGCGGCAAGUCUGAAGUGAAAGGCAGGGGCUUAACCCCUGAACUGCUUUGGAAACUGCCAUGCUAGAGUGCUGGAGAG
rnacentral:rRNA from 1 species